rnacentral:lncRNA from 1 species
CUUAACCAAGGUAGUAUGCAUUGCCAAAAAAAGGGUACUGCAGCUAAGCUUUUGGUUGUAUAUAAUACAACUGGCUUUAUAUUUUUAUUGAAAAAGAGGCCGCAGGACACUUCGGAUCAUAUAAUUUCACUAUAGUAUCUGGAAUCUUGUUUGAAAUCUUCAUACAACCUGAUUAUAAAGAGCUUAUAAAAUCAAAAAGGUUGCUCCCAUUUGAUCCGGACAAAUUGGUGCUCCAAAAGAAAAAUCAACGGCAUUAUUUUCUGCAAUAAAUUUCUUGUUCUCUCCCACUGUUGUGAUUUUCUAAAUACUUAAAAAUUUUAGCAUUAUUUAAAGAAAAAUACAUAUCAAAAGUUGAAUAUUAAUAAUCAUUAUCAUAAGAUCUUAAAUUCAAUUUUACCCAGUGCCUUUUUAUUGAAAGUUGAAAUGUAACGAUAAUUCUGUUUUUUAAAUCUUCGACAGAUUUCCAUUCCUCCAAUUCCCACAAUUUUUUUAAUGCUUAUUUUUCAAACUUUUUAGUCUAUUGAAAGUCAAAUCUAAAAUUUUAGAAAUACAAAGGAAAUAUAUAAUAAGUAAUUUACCCUACUUGGUGUAAUUUGUAUCUGUUAGCAUUCAAGUACAGAAGUUUGUCAAAUUAAGUCCCCAAGUACAUAAGAGACACAAAAAAAUUAAUAAGAAUUAUUAGUUCAUAAAGUAAGCAAAUGUAACCUCUUGAUUAAAAUAAAUAUUGUAUUCAGCAUUUGGUAUCUAAAAAUAAUGACUCUGGUGUCUUCUUUGUGUAUCUAAAAUCCCUUAAUAGUUGUAAAUAAAAAUUUAAGUUAUUUAUUUUAUGAUAGGGAUUCAUAAGAUAAAUUAAUAAUCAUAAUUUUGGUGGUAUCAUUAAAAACUUAAUUUACAUGCAUUAAUUUAUCAUAUUUGGUACAAUUCUGUUAUAACGACCCUACAAAAUUACCUAAUUGUUGAUGCCAAAAAUACUUAUGGUAACUCUAAUGUAAGAAGGAAAGCAUAAAAGUAAAUAACUAGGAUUAUUAUUUCAAUUUAGAUGAAAGGUUAAUUUCCUAUAAUUCAUCUUUUAUUGUUAUAAUUUAUAAAGAAAUGGCUAAACAUAAUUGGAAGAAAGCAUAAUAGUAAUUAACUAUGUAAGAUUAUUAAUUUGAUGAAAUGUUAAUUUCGGGUGAAGUGUAGAACCGCCCACUUAUUUGGCUCUUUUUACAAGAGUAAGGAGAAAUGGAUUUUUGUCAAUUUCCUUUGACUUUUUAAGUGAAAAUAGAUCAAAGUGUACAUGGACAAAUUCAAAAGAGUGCACAGGGUUUGUAGUGGUUUUUACAAUUGCUUAUAAGUCUUUAUAUUUGAAAAUAAAAUAUAAAGGCCCUUAUAAGUGUUUACUUUUUCUCUAAAGCACUUAUUUUUUUCCCUCCUUCCCCCCCCCCUCUUAACGAACACACAUUUUUUCCCCGUACCAAAGCCGAAACUAAACUUUUCUUCCUUAUCUAGAACAUCAGAUGGUGAAUCAUGCUUCCGUUAAUAGCUUUUCGACCCUUUCUCUGCAUAACCUUUGGUGGAUGCGAGUACAGACAGAUGGUGCACAUCGUUCUAUUGGUCAAAGAACACCGAAAGCGGUAGAAAAUUCUGGUAUAUUCCGUAUUCUUUUCCUCCCACCCAAGACUAUCAUGUUUUCUAUCAAGAUUUUAAUAAUUUGCAUUCCCGUUCCAUGU